GUGGUUGUAGCUCAGCCGGUAGAGCACCUGGUUGUGGUCCAGGAAGUCGCGGGUUCAAGUCCCGUCAGCCACCCCA
rnacentral:tRNA from 1 species